GGGUCCCACUGCCUCGGAGGGGUUCCCUUCUCGCCCGGUGCCCUCUAGCGCCGUCGCAGACCCCCUGCCGGGGCCCCUGGACCCUUCCUGUCUGGGCAGGCUCAGUGAGGAUCUAGAAAAGUCUUCCUGUCCCAGUCCUGGUGUGCCCCGGGGCCUGGGUGAUGACCUCCACGCCCGAGGGCGCUCGGACUCCUGGCUGGGCAUUUCAAGGCAGGUGCAGCUGGGGAUCCCAGCAGCCCCACUCGGAGGAGCUCUGCCCCAGGGUGGGUGGAACACCCCAGUGGAAACCAGAUUCCGAGGCAGGACUGUGGGGAUGGGCAGGGCGAGAGUAUGGCAUGAGGUCUCCCUCCGUUGCCUGUCCCAAACCCUUCCUGGUUCCUCAGGGAAUGUGGGGGGACAAGGGAAAGGGAGAGAGUGACUUGCCCCAGCUAGUCCACCUCUGGGGCCGCCUCCCUCCUCCCCCAGCCAGCCACAGGGUUGAGGGUUCCUCAUUCCCAAGGUCAAGCCUGCCCUUGGUGCUCUCUGCUGGGCAGGAGCCCUUCUGCUGCCGGCCUGGGUCCUGGGCUCCAGCUGAGGAGCCUGCCUGAUGUGGGAUCUGGGGAGGGAGGGGUCCCCAGGGCCUGCCUCAUUUCCAGCCGUAGGCUCUUUCACCAUGGGAGGAGAGGAGGGAAGACGAAGAGGAAGUCCCCUCGGCUCUGGACACCAGGCCCCUAGCCCCAGACCCCUGCAUGAGAGCAUCAGCUCUCCCCUGUGACUAGGCCUUCUAGCUCCAGAAACAAAGGAUUCCCAGGGCCUAUCAGAUGAGGCGCCCUGAAAACAUAGGCUGGGCUUCUGUGAGAUGGGAGAAGGACCAGAAAUAUGAUUUAAAUUUCACCCUGCUCACACACCCAGCUUGAUGGCACUUGGCUAUAAAGCUGGUCUCAUUGGGCCUGAGGGUCCCUGAGAGCUGAGCUUGGCAGCCCCUGGGGCCCAGCCUCGCCCCUAGUCCUGGAAGUGAGAGUGAAGCAUUUUGCACUGUGUCCUUCCUUGCCCAAAGCACACACCAGGCAGUGACCAUGACUCAUGGUUCCCAGUACAAAGAAAAGACCACUUCCCAGCUGGGGCAGAGGCCAAGUCAGAGCCCCGACCCCAUCGCCUCUCUGCCCUGCUUGAGUCUGGAAUGGACCUGCCUGCCUGGAAGCUGCAUUGCCCUUGGUCCUGGGCCCGCCCGCCCCCUGGGGAACACAGGCAGCGGUCACAGUGACAGUGAGGCCGUGGCAGCAUCAGCAGCAGAGGAUGCCCCAGGCCCUGGAGCGUGCAGAUGGCAGCUGGGCCUGGGUGGUGCUGCUGGCCACCGUGGUGAGCCAGGGCCUCACCCUGGGCUUCCCCACGUGUAUUGGCAUCUUCUUCACUGAACUGCAAUGGGAGUUCCAGGCCAGCAACAGCGAGACCUCUUGGUUCCCCUCCAUCCUCACGGCUGUAGUCCACAUGGCAGGGCCCCUGUGCAGCAUCCUGGUGGUACGCUUCGGCUGCCGAGGGACUGCGAUGCUGGGAGGCGUGCUGGCCAGCCUGGGCAUGGUGGCUGGCUCCUUCUCCCGCAGCCUCAGCCAGCUCUACUUCACAGCAGGAUUCAUCACAGGCCUGGGCAUGUGCUUCAGCUUCCAGUCGAGCAUCACGGUGCUGGGCUUCUACUUUGUCCGCCGACGGGUGCUGGCCAACGCACUGGCAUCUAUGGGCGUCUCCCUGGGCAUCACACUCUGGCCACUGCUCUCCCGCUACCUCCUGGAGGAUCUGGGCUGGAGGGGUACCUUCCUUGUCUUUGGUGGAGUCUUUCUCCACUGCUGCAUCUGCGGGGCCGUCAUGAGGCCUGUGGCCACCAGCGUGGCCCCUGAGACCAAAGAAUGUCCCCCGCCACCUCCCAAGACACCUGUGCUCGGCUGCCUGGCUGCCUGUGGCCAGACCAUCCAGCGCCACCUGGCCUUUGACAUCCUGCGGCACAACACAGGCUACCGCGUGUACACGCUGGGCGUGAUGUGGUCAAUCCUGGGCUUCCCACUGCCACAUGUCUUCCUGGUGCCAUAUGCCAUGCGGCACAGAGUGGACGAGCAGCAGGCAGCCCUUCUCAUCUCCAUCAUCGGCUUCAGCAACAUCUUCCUGCGGCCCCUAGCCGGGCUGGUGGCAGGACGGCGGGCCUUUGCCAGCCACCGCAAGUACCUGUUCAGCCUGGCAGUCCUGCUCAACGGGCUCACUAAUCUGGUGUGCGCAGCAUCAGCCGACUUCUGGGUGCUUGUGGGCUACUGCCUGGUGUACAGCGUGUCCAUGAGUGGCAUCGGCGCCCUCGUCUUCCAGGUCCUCAUGGACAUUGUCCCCAUGGAUCGCUUCCCCAGCGCCCUGGGACUCUUCACCGUCCUGGACGGACUUGCUUUCCUCAUCUCCCCGCCACUGGCCGGGCUCCUCCUGGACAGCACCAACAACUUCAGCUAUGUUUUCUACAUGUCCAGCUUCUUCCUCAUCUCAGCUGCCCUCUUCAUGGGCAGUAGCUUCUAUUCCCUGCAGAAGAAGGAGCAGCAAGGCAAGCAGGCUGUCGAGACAGAUGCCUUAGAGCAGGAUCUUUUCUUGGAAGGCAAAGACGGUUCUGGGAAGCAAUGGUGCCCUGAGAUCAUGUAUGUGACCAGCGUCUAAGACCCAGGGGUCACCUAUGUGACCAAUGUCUGAGUCCUGAAGUUACUGAGUGAACAGUCUCAGCCCAGGAGGGGGACCUCCAGCUCCUUGACCAGGGGCUCUGGUGAAGAGCAGCCCAGGAAACUCAGGCUGUCAAGGCUGUGCAAGCUGGGACUCUACCAGGAACUGAGACCUUGCAGCCUGGCCUC